AUCUUUUCCCAAAAAACACCAAAACCCUCCCGCCAAAAAAGCGACCCUUUUUGACAAAAUGUUUUCGCAUGGUCUUGCCCCGGCGAUUUUUCGAAAAACUUUUCGCCCUAUCAACUUUCGAUGGUAGGAUAGUGGCCUACCCAUGGUGGCAACGGGUAACGGGGAAUCAAGUGUUUUUCUGAUACUGAGAGGGAGCCUGAGAAACGGCUACCACAUCCAAGGAAGGCAGCAGGCGCGCAAAUUACCCAAUCCCGACACGGGGAGGUAGUGACAAUAAAUACUGAUACGGGGCUCUUUUGGGUCUCGUAAUUGGAAUGAGUACAAUCUAAAUCCCUUAACGAGGAACAAUUGGAGGGCAAGUCUGGUGCCAGCAGCCGCGGUAAUUCCAGCUCCAAUAGCGUAUAUUAAAGUUGUUGCAGUUAAAAAGCUCGUAGUUGAACCUUGGGUUCGGCCGGCCGGUCCGCCUCACCGCGAGUACUGUCCGGCCGUUCCUUUCCUUCUGGGGAAUCCCAUGGCCUUCACUGGCUGUGGGGGGAACCAGGACUUUUACUGUGAAAAAAUUAGAGUGUUCAAAGCAGGCCUUUGCUCGAAUACAUUAGCAUGGAAUAAUAGAAUAGGACGUGUGGUUCUAUUUUGUUGGUUUCUAGGACCGCCGUAAUGAUUAAUAGGGAUAGUCGGGGGCGUCAGUAUUCAGCUGUCAGAGGUGAAUCUGAUGCUAGGCCUU
rnacentral:rRNA from 1 species